CCUACGGGUGACAGCAGUGGGGAAUAUUGCACAAUGGGGGAAACCCUGAUGCAGCGACGCCGCGUGAGUGAAGAAGUAUUUCGGUAUGUAAAGCUCUUUCAGCAGGAACGAGACAAGACGGUAUCUGACUAAGAAGCGCCGGCUAACUACGUGCCAGCAGCCGCGGUAAUACGUAGGGGGCAAGCGUUAUCCGGAAUCACUGGGUGUAAAGGGAGCGUAGAGGGCUGUGCAAGCCUGAGGUGAAAGGCGGGGGCCCAACCCCUGGACUGCUUUGGGAACUGUACGGCUGGAGUGCAGGAGAGGUAAGUGGAAUUCCUAGUGUAGCGGUGAAAUGCGUAGAUAUUAGGAGGAACACCAGUGGCGAAGGCGGUUUACUGGACUGUAACUGACGUUGAGGCUCGAAAGCGUGGGGAGCAAACAGGAUUAGAUACCCGAGUAGUC
rnacentral:rRNA from 1 species